GAAUAUUGGUCAAUGGACGAAAGUCUGAACCAGUCAUGCCGCGUGCAGGAUGACGGCCCUACGGGUUGUAAACUGCUUUUAUAUAGGAAGAAACCCCUCUACGUGUAGAGGGCUGACGGUACUAUAAGAAUAAGGACCGGCCAACUCCGUGCCAGCAGCCGCGGUAAUACGGAGGGUCCAAGCGUUAUCCGGAUUUAUUGGGUUUAAAGGGUACGUAGGCGGAAUUUUAAGUCAGUAGUGGAAGCCUCUCGCUCAACGAGAGAACUGCUAUUGAUACUGAUAUUCUUGAAUAUAGUUGAAGUAGGCGGAAUACGGCAUGUAGCGGUGAAAUGCAUAGAUAUGCCGUGGAACACCAAUCGCGAAGGCAGCUUACUAAGCUAUUAUUGACGCUAAUGUACGAAAGCGUGGGGAGCGAACAGG
rnacentral:rRNA from 1 species